CCCUGUGUGGUGCAAACCGUUAACACACUGGGCUGCUAACCCAAAGGCUGGAGGUUUCAUUCCCCCCAGAGGUG
rnacentral:tRNA from 1 species